rnacentral:piRNA from 1 species
UGCCAGUCCACCACUGGGAUCUACUCAGU